AGGCCAGGUUGGACAGGGCUCUGAGCAACCUGGUCUAGUGGAAGGUGUUCCUGCCCAUGGAAGAGGGGGGAAUGAGAUGGCCUUUGAGGUCAUUCACAACCCAAA